rnacentral:misc_RNA from 1 species
ACAUCUCCAUAAUUAGUUUUUUUAAAAUUAAUUAAGGGUUUUGAGGUUGUCAUUGUAUUAUGACUCCCUUUAAAAUAAUUAGUGAUGACCUUAUGAAUGGGUUAAUACUGUGUGUUAUAAUGGAUUACAUCCAUCACCAGUCAGAGAGUAAUCUCGCCUUAGUAAUUUGUAGUGAUUGCUUCUAAUCACCUUUAUUGGCAAAUUAAAUGAUCA